rnacentral:tRNA from 1 species
CGUCGCACAGGCGUUGGCGAGGACUCACGACGCCGUCAUCGCGCUGGGUGUCGUGAUCCGGGGUGAGACACCGCAUUUCGACUAUGUCUGCGACGC